GACGAACGCUGGCGGCGUGCUUAAUACAUGCAAGUCGAACGGAAAGGCCCUGCUUUUGUGGGGUGCUCGAGUGGCGAACGGGUGAGUAACACGUGAGUAACCUGCCCUUGACUUUGGGAUAACUUCAGGAAACUGGGGCUAAUACCGGAUAGGAGCUCCUGCUGCAUGGUGGGGGUUGGAAAGUUUCGGCGGUUGGGGAUGGACUCGCGGCUUAUCAGCUUGUUGGUGGGGUAGUGGCUUACCAAGGCUUUGACGGGUAGCCGGCCUGAGAGGGUGACCGGCCACAUUGGGACUGAGAUACGGCCCAGACUCCUACGGGAGGCAGCAGUGGGGAAUAUUGCACAAUGGGCGGAAGCCUGAUGCAGCAACGCCGCGUGCGGGAUGACGGCCUUCGGGUUGUAAACCGCUUUCGCCUGUGACGAAGCGUGAGUGACGGUAACGGGUAAAGAAGCACCGGCUAACUACGUG
rnacentral:rRNA from 1 species